CUCUUUUUCCAGGGUUCUAUGUUGCGAAUAGGAUCUACAAACUGAAUCCUAAAAUUGAUUGCCAAUGGUUGAUUUGAGUUGAUACAAGUAUUAUUACUUUUCGUUUUACAAUAUUCUGUAGCUAAAGCUGGUUUUGAGUUGUCAAAUUGCUUGAGGAAGGUAAGUAAACAAAAACCCUAAUUUUUAUUGUUUAAUUUGGGAUUUUGGUUGCGAGACAAAAUGGUAGUGUUAACUGGGUUUGAAUGAAUGAUGUGAUAGAGACCGUCGGUGAAAUAAUAAACAAAGACAACGAUUUGUAUGAUGAUUAAGAAUUUGUAAGGAAUCAGACUAAGGAAUUUAUGGUUGAUGAGGUUUUUAUGAAUUGGUCAAAGUGCAUUUUCUAAAGUAAUCAACGACAAGGUAGUAUUUAUUUUGGCCAUUGAUUUGUAUGAUGAUCAAGGAUUUCUGUCAAGUGAGAUGCAGAAGUUGGCAAUGAAGAGGAUGUUGAUUUAGGUGGUCAAACAAAAUAGAAUGAUAUCGUCCUCUUCUUCAUUUUUAAUUUGGGUUUGUAGAGAUGGUGCUUCCUGCUGGUUGUACCGGAGGUUGUGGGUUUGAAAAUAUUACAACCCAACCAUUCUUCUUCUGUCGAGUAUAAUCAAGAAAGUUAAGAUAGUGGUGGCGGCGACAGAGGUGUGCUGGUUGUUUCGGAGGUAGUGGUGGUGAUAGUUAUGUUAACGGCAACAUAACAGAGUCAAAUAAAUUAAUAUUAAUUUUAAAAAAUAAUUUAUUUCUUAACAAUUUUAAAGCUUUGGGUCCUGACGGCUAUCCUGCAUUGUUUUAUAAGAAGUGAUGGCACAUUAUUGGUUCUGAGGUAAUUGGGCUCGUUCAAGAUUGUUUCCGAUGUGCUAGACUCCCUGGUAUAAAUCAUACUUAUAUUGCUCUAGUUCCAAAGACUAAGCAUCCUUCAGCUCCAGGGGAUUACAUGCUAAUAUCUUUGCGUAACGUCAUAUACAAGAUUAUCACUAAAAUCAUUACCAAGAGACUAAGUUCUUUUUUAGAUGAGCUCGUUGAGAAAAAAUCAGUCGGCUUUGAUCCCCGAAAUCAAACAAUAUUGUGUCUGCCAAAGAGCUAAAUCACUUUAUGUCUCAUUCUAACUCCAUAUUAGACUCUUUCUCUCUCAAGCUAGACAUGAGCAACGCAUGUGAUAGAGUCGAUUGGGGCUUCUUGAGUAUGGUUUUACAUAGUUUUGGUAUAUUUGGUGUUAUUCACUCUCUGAUUGGAGAACAUGGUGGUUUCGGGUUAAAUAUGGCGCUGGUGGCGAAAUUGGCUUGGAGAUGCCUGCCUGAUUGUUCUUUUCUUUGGGGACAAUUACUACAAACUAAAUACUUGAGAGAAAAUUCUUUCUGGACUGCAAGUAAGCCAUAAAAAUGCUUUUCCACAUGGUGUGCAACGUUGGAGAGUAGAAAAUUCUUGAAGAAUGGAUGUUUAUGGAUAGUGGGGAAUGGGGAAAAAUUAAGGUGUGGUCUGAUCCUUGGAUAAAUCAUUACCAGGCCAUAUUCCUCCUACGCCGACGGUCCGUUGCACUUCAGUUAAGACAGUGAAAGACCUCAUUUCAGUUGAUGAGUCUAAUUGGAAUCAUAGCCUAAUUCAUGAACUGUUUGAUCCAUUUGCUGCGGAAAAAGUUUUGUCGAUUCCACUCUACACAGCUACUUAAGAAGACAAACUCAUGUGGAGUCUGAUAGAACAUGGCACUUUCACUGCACCUUCUUUUCAGAAAAUGAUGUCUGAACUCAAUGGAGAAUCCUCCUGGCUGAAUGAUGCUUAUUUCCAUGGCGUAAAUUUUGGAUAAUGGUCUGUCAAGGGGCUUGCUUGCUUUGGGCACUAUGGUCUGUCAAGGGGCUUGCUUGCUUUGGGCAAUAUUAAAGGACGCCGAUCACUGAUUCCAUUCUUACUAUCUGUUGGAUGAACUCCCCGUUAUUCUCAUUUCCCGGACCGUGAAUGCUCCUGCAAUCACUAGCUAACGCUGCACAUGAGUGGACAGUUCCUCCUGAAGGUGUUAUCAAAAUCAAUGUGGACGCGCCUUUCAAUCUUGGAAAAGUUGUAGGUGCUGUAGUUGCUAAGGACCACAAUAAUCAGCUCGUUGAUAUAGCCUCAUCGGUCCAUCACCAAUCUGCACCUCAAGUGGCAGAAACUACAUGCUUCCUCCUUGCUACUAAUUUUUCCCAUCAAAUGCAGUUUCAGAAUUACAUAAUCGAAGGUAAAUGUUAGACAGUGGUUAAGGCUCUUAAAGGGGACUUGAAAUCAGUUCCUUGGAGAAUUUUCAGAAUGGUUCAAGAUAUCAAGAGGGUGUCUCACUCUUUUAACUCAGUUACCUAAAUUUUGUGAAAACAAGACCGAAUUUAUCAACUCACAA